UACGAAGGGGGCUAGCGUUGUUCGGAUUUACUGGGCGUAAAGCGCGCGCAGGCGGCUUUGCAAGUCAGGGGUGAAAUCCCAGAGCUCAACUCUGGAAUUGCCUUUGAGACUGUGAGGCUUCGAGUACGGGAGAGGUGAGUGGAAUUCCCAGUGUAGAGGUGAAAGUCGUAGAUAUUGGGAAGAACACCGGUGGCGAAGGCGGCUCACUGGCUCAUAUCUGACGCUCAGGCGCGACAGCGUGGGGAUCAAACAGG
rnacentral:rRNA from 1 species